rnacentral:tRNA from 1 species
GUCUCUGUAGCGCAAUGGAUAGCGCAUUGGACUUCUAAUCCAAAGGUUGUAGGAUGGCCUAAUUUCUGAGAAU